rnacentral:rRNA from 1 species
CCUACGUGUGGCUGCAGUAGGGAAUCUUCCACAAUGGGCGAAAGCCUGAUGCAGCAAUGCCGCGUGGGUGAAGAAGGUCUUCGGAUUGUAAAACACUGUUGUUAGAGAAGAAAGUGCGUGAGAGUAACUGUUUACGUUUCGACGGUACCUAACCAGGAAGCCACGGCUAACUACGUGCCAGCAGCCGCGGUAAUACGUAGGGUGCAAGCGUUAUUCGGAUUUAUUGGGCGUAAAGGGAACGCAGGCGGUUUGUUAAGUCAGAUGUGAAAGCCUUCGGCUUAACCGGGGUAGUGCAUUGGAUACUGGCAGACUUGAGUGCAGUAGAGGGGAGUAGAACUCCAUGUGUAGCGGUGAAAUGCGUAGAGAUAUGGAGGAACACCGGUGGCGAAAGCGGCUCUCUGGUCUAUAACUGACGCUGAGGUUCGAAAGCGUGGGUAGCAAACAGGAUUAGAUACCCGAGUAGUC